rnacentral:ncRNA from 1 species
UAAUAUGCAUUUAUAUGCUAUUUUAUAUUAUUUUUGGGACUAACUAUUAACCGAGGGCCCAGUGCCAGUUUCUAUUUUUUGCCUGUUUUAGUGUUUCAUAGAAAAGAAAUACCAAACGGAGUCCAAACGGAAUGAAACUUUCGCAAUGAUCUUUCUUGGACCAGAAGCAAACUAGGAGACUUGGAGAUGAAGUUGGAGACUCAACGAGGCGGCCACAAGGGUGGAGGGCGCGCCCCUACCUCGUGGGCCCCUCGGAGCUCUCUUGACCUAGUUCCUUCGCCUAUAUAUACUCUUAUACCCCAAAAACAUCAGGGGGAGCCACGAAAACACUUUUCCACCGCCGCAACCUUCUGUACCCGUGAGAUCCCAUCUAGGGGCCUUUUCCGGCAUCCUGUCGGAGGGGGAUUUGAUCAUGGAGGGCUUCUACAUCAACACCAUUACCCUUCCGAUGAAGCAUGAGUUGUUUACCUUAGAACUACGGGUCCACUUGAGUGAGACCGAGGAGAGUGGAAUUUCGUGUGUAGGGGUGAAAUCCGUAGAUCUACGAAGGAAUGCCAAAAGCGAAGGCAGCUCUCUAGGUACCUACUGAUGCUGGGGUGCAAAAGCAUGGGGAGCGAACAGGAUUAGAUACCCUGGUAGUACAUGCCAUAAACGAUGAGUGUUCUCCCUUGGUCUGCGCGGAUCAGGGGCCCAGCUAACACGUGAAACACUCCGCCU